GAUGAACGCUGGCGGCGUGCCUAAUACAUGCAAGUCGAGCGAACGGACGAGAAGCUUGCUUCUCUGAUGUUAGCGGCGGACGGGUGAGUAACACGUGGAUAACCUACCUAUAAGACUGGGAUAACUUCGGGAAACCGUAGCUAAUACCGGAUAAUAUUUUGAACCGCAUGGUUCAAAAGUGAAAGACGGUCUUGCUGUCACUUAUAGAUGGAUCCGCGCUGCAUUAGCUAGUUGGUAAGGUAACGGCUUACCAAGGCAACGAUGCAUAGCCGACCUGAGAGGGUGAUCGGCCACACUGGAACUGAGCCACGGUCCAGACGCCUACGGGAGGCAGCAGUAGGGAAUCUUCCGCAAUGGGCGAAAGCCUGACGGAGCAACGCCGCGUGAGUGAUGAAGGUCUUCGGAUCGUAAAACUCUGUUAUUAGGGAAGAACAUAUGUGUGAGUAACUGUGCACAUCUUGACGGUACCUAAUCAGAAAGCCACGGCUAACUACGUG
rnacentral:rRNA from 1 species